rnacentral:lncRNA from 1 species
CCUCUCCGCUGUCCUUAAAGGGGCCGCGCGGGACGCCGCGGUGGCGCGCGGCCGGGGUGUGGGGAGCCUGAGGCGGCGGCGGCCGGCAGCCGUAGGGGGAAGGCACGGCGGAGGGAGCCGGUUUGUUUUUAAACUCUGCCUCCGCUCGUCGUCUUGCGCUCUGGUUCCUCCGAGUUGUUUAUUCCAUUUUCCUCUUCCUGAGACGGCCGCUGCCUCUGCGCGUGCGCGCGCGGGGCGCGGGGGCUUGUGGGUAAAGGCCUGGCCCGGGCGGCAGGCGUGGCCCCCCGGGGGCAUCCGCGAGCUGCCCGGGAGGCCGUUGGUCCAGCUGAAGCCCCUUUGGUGCGUGGUCUUCCACUCGUCGCGGGUCGGGUGCUGAGGUUUCACGAGGCGGGAUGCCUUCCUUGAGCCAGGUGCUUGUGAGCUUUGAAGUGAAAAGACAAAAUUGACAGCCCGUCACUGGUCCUUUGAGGGGGACGCGGCCCAGCCUGGCUCCCCGGAGAGUUUUCGUUCCGCCCGCCACGUUUCCUCUCCCUCUUCCCUUUUGCCCACCAACACCCUAUUUUUUUUUUUUUUUUGUACUCCCCCUCGAAGGUGAUGGCACUUCUGGCCAGAUAUCCUUAGGUUCUGGGCGCUUUGUCAAAAAAUGGAGCCAGAAUCGUUGAUGUCAACACACCCCCUGCUUACAGCAGCACCUGUUUCCUCCGCUUGGACGGCCCUCCUUGAUUUUUUUUUUUUUUUUUCUUUUGAAAAAUAAGAUGCCACCUGGGACAGUGCUGCCUAGGCAGCACGGGAAGACCCAUUUCCAAACGUGCUUGAAUGCUUUCCUACUCUGUAUUCGAAAUUCACUUUUUUAAAAUUUUUCCCUCAUUAGUUUCCAAUUUACUCCACUAUUUUCCCCCCUAAGGGGAGAGGCGCUAAGACAUUUUGAAGACCAUCAAUGAAGUGAAAAUUGAUUUUAACGUUUUAGUUUUUUCUCUGCAAGAUUUUCUCAAAAGACAAAUCCGUGUUCUGAAAAGGACGGGUGUGGGCGGUAUUUAAGGAGUUGUGGCAACCUGGCGAAGUCACAGAAGCAUGGAUAUAAACAAAAGUGCCACUGCAGAAAGGGUGAGAUGCAUGCUGUAGAUGACAAUCUGUGACUGGAAAGAAGCUGGGUACGAGUGAACAAGAUGCAGUCGUACCUGAAUUCAGAAGGCUUGUUUAUCCUCUUGCUAGUGAAGUGAAAGAUAGAGGCAGGUGUAAAUUAGGGUGUCUAAUGCCACCUUAAUAUCUAAUGACACCGAAUCAGCUGUCAGAGAGGACUUAAAGAUGUUGGACUACCCAGAGAAAAGUGAUAGAACAGCAG